GAACGCUGGCGGCAGGCCUAACACAUGCCAAGUCGAACGGUAACAGGAAGAAGCUUGCUUCUUUGCUGACGAGUGGCGGACGGGUGAGUAAUGUCUGGGAAACUGCCUGAUGGAGGGGGAUAACUACUGGAAACGGUAGCUAAUACCGCAUAACGUCGCAAGACCAAAGAGGGGGACCUUCGGGCCUCUUGCCAUCGGAUGUGCCCAGAUGGGAUUAGCUAGUAGGUGGGGUAACGGCUCACCUAGGCGACGAUCCCUAGCUGGUCUGAGAGGAUGACCAGCCACACUGGAACUGAGACACGGUCCAGACUCCUACGGGAGGCAGCAGUGGGGAAUAUUGCACAAUGGGCGCAAGCCUGAUGCAGCCAUGCCGCGUGUAUGAAGAAGG
rnacentral:rRNA from 1 species